rnacentral:rRNA from 1 species
AACGAACGCUGGCGGCAUGCCUAACACAUGCAAGUCGAACGAGACCUUCGGGUCUAGUGGCGCACGGGUGCGUAACGCGUGGGAACCUGCCCUUAGGUUCGGAAUAACUCCCCGAAAGGGGUGCUAAUACCGGUUAAUGUCUUCGGACCAAAGAUUUAUCGCCUUUGGAUGGGCCCGCGUUGGAUUAGCUAGUUGGUAGGGUAAAAGCCUACCAAGGCGACGAUCCAUAGCUGGUCUGAGAGGAUGAUCAGCCACACUGGGACUGAGACACGGCCCAGACUCCUACGGGAGGCAGCAGUGGGGAAUAUUGGACAAUGGGCGAAAGCCUGAUCCAGCAAUGCCGCGUGAGUGAUGAAGGCCGUAGGGUUGUAAAGCUCUUUUACCCGGGAUGAUAAUGACAGUACCGGGAGAAUAAGCACCGGCUAACUCCGUG